rnacentral:rRNA from 1 species
UAAUACCGAAUACGCUCUACGGAGGAAAGAGGGGGCUUCGGCUCUCGCUAUUGGAUGGGCCUGCGUGAGAUUAGCUAGUUGGUGAGGUAAUGGCUCACCAAGGCGACGAUCUCUAGCUGGUCUGAGAGGAUGAUCAGCCACACUGGGACUGAGACACGGCCCAGACUCCUACGGGAGGCAGCAGUCGGGGAAUAUUGCACAAUGGGCGCAAGCCUGAUGCAGCCAUGCCGCGUGUGUGAAGAAGGCUUUCGGGUUGUAAAGCACUUUCAGUGGGGAGGAAGGCCUCGUAGUUAAUAGCUGCGAGGAUUGACGUUACCCACAGAAGAAGCACCGGCUAACUCCGUG